GGGUUGUGAGGUUAAGCGACUAAGCGUACACGGUGGAUGCCCUGGCAGUCAGAGGCGAUGAAGGACGUGCUAAUCUGCGAUAAGCGUCGGUAAGGUGAUAUGAACCGUUAUAACCGGCGAUUUCCGAAUGGGGAAACCCAGUGUGAUUCGUCACACUAUCAUUAACUGAAUCCAUAGGUUAAUGAGGCGAACCGGGGGAACUGAAACAUCUAAGUACCCCGAGGAAAAGAAAUCAACCGAGAUUCCCCCAGUAGCGGCGAGCGAACGGGGAGGAGCCCAGAGCCUGAAUCAGUGUGUGUGUUAGUGGAAGCGUCUGGAAAGGCGCGCGAUACAGGGUGACAGCCCCGUACACAAAAAUGCACAUGCUGUGAGCUCGAUGAGUAGGGCGGGACACGUGGUAUCCUGUCUGAAUAUGGGGGGACCAUCCUCCAAGGCUAAAUACUCCUGACUGACCGAUAGUGAACCAGUACCGUGAGGGAAAGGCGAAAAGAACCCCGGCGAGGGGAGUGAAAAAGAACCUGAAACCGUGUACGUACAAGCAGUGGGAGCACAGAGCAAUCUGUGUGACUGCGUACCUUUUGUAUAAUGGGUCAGCGACUUAUAUUCUGUAGCAAGGUUAACCGAAUAGGGGAGCCGAAGGGAAACCGAGUCUUAACUGGGCGUUAAGUUGCAGGGUAUAGACCCGAAACCCGGUGAUCUAGCCAUGGGCAGGUUGAAGGUUGGGUAACACUAACUGGAGGACCGAACCGACUAAUGUUGAAAAAUUAGCGGAUGACUUGUGGCUGGGGGUGAAAGGCCAAUCAAACCGGGAGAUAGCUGGUUCUCCCCGAAAGCUAUUUAGGUAGCGCCUCGUGAAUUCAUCUCCGGGGGUAGAGCACUGUUUCGGCAAGGGGGUCAUCCCGACUUACCAACCCGAUGCAAACUGCGAAUACCGGAGAAUGUUAUCACGGGAGACACACGGCGGGUGCUAACGUCCGUCGUGAAGAGGGAAACAACCCAGACCGCCAGCUAAGGUCCCAAAGUCAUGGUUAAGUGGGAAACGAUGUGGGAAGGCCCAGACAGCCAGGAUGUUGGCUUAGAAGCAGCCAUCAUUUAAAGAAAGCGUAAUAGCUCACUGGUCGAGUCGGCCUGCGCGGAAGAUGUAACGGGGCUAAACCAUGCACCGAAGCUGCGGCAGCGACACUAUGUGUUGUUGGGUAGGGGAGCGUUCUGUAAGCCUGUGAAGGUGUACUGUGAGGUAUGCUGGAGGUAUCAGAAGUGCGAAUGCUGACAUAAGUAACGAUAAAGCGGGUGAAAAGCCCGCUCGCCGGAAGACCAAGGGUUCCUGUCCAACGUUAAUCGGGGCAGGGUGAGUCGACCCCUAAGGCGAGGCCGAAAGGCGUAGUCGAUGGGAAACAGGUUAAUAUUCCUGUACUUGGUGUUACUGCGAAGGGGGGACGGAGAAGGCUAUGUUGGCCGGGCGACGGUUGUCCCGGUUUAAGCGUGUAGGCUGGUUUUCCAGGCAAAUCCGGAAAAUCAAGGCUGAGGCGUGAUGACGAGGCACUACGGUGCUGAAGCAACAAAUGCCCUGCUUCCAGGAAAAGCCUCUAAGCAUCAGGUAACAUCAAAUCGUACCCCAAACCGACACAGGUGGUCAGGUAGAGAAUACCAAGGCGCUUGAGAGAACUCGGGUGAAGGAACUAGGCAAAAUGGUGCCGUAACUUCGGGAGAAGGCACGCUGAUAUGUAGGUGAAGUCCCUCGCGGAUGGAGCUGAAAUCAGUCGAAGAUACCAGCUGGCUGCAACUGUUUAUUAAAAACACAGCACUGUGCAAACACGAAAGUGGACGUAUACGGUGUGACGCCUGCCCGGUGCCGGAAGGUUAAUUGAUGGGGUCAGCGCAAGCGAAGCUCUUGAUCGAAGCCCCGGUAAACGGCGGCCGUAACUAUAACGGUCCUAAGGUAGCGAAAUUCCUUGUCGGGUAAGUUCCGACCUGCACGAAUGGCGUAAUGAUGGCCAGGCUGUCUCCACCCGAGACUCAGUGAAAUUGAACUCGCUGUGAAGAUGCAGUGUACCCGCGGCAAGACGGAAAGACCCCGUGAACCUUUACUAUAGCUUGACACUGAACAUUGAGCCUUGAUGUGUAGGAUAGGUGGGAGGCUUUGAAGUGUGGACGCCAGUCUGCAUGGAGCCGGCCUUGAAAUACCACCCUUUAAUGUUUGAUGUUCUAACGUUGACCCGUGAUCCGGGUUGCGGACAGUGUCUGGUGGGUAGUUUGACUGGGGCGGUCUCCUCCUAAAGAGUAACGGAGGAGCACGAAGGUUGGCUAAUCCUGGUCGGACAUCAGGAGGUUAGUGCAAUGGCAUAAGCCAGCUUGACUGCGAGCGUGACGGCGCGAGCAGGUGCGAAAGCAGGUCAUAGUGAUCCGGUGGUUCUGAAUGGAAGGGCCAUCGCUCAACGGAUAAAAGGUACUCCGGGGAUAACAGGCUGAUACCGCCCAAGAGUUCAUAUCGACGGCGGUGUUUGGCACCUCGAUGUCGGCUCAUCACAUCCUGGGGCUGAAGUAGGUCCCAAGGGUAUGGCUGUUCGCCAUUUAAAGUGGUACGCGAGCUGGGUUUAGAACGUCGUGAGACAGUUCGGUCCCUAUCUGCCGUGGGCGCUGGAGAACUGAGGGGGGCUGCUCCUAGUACGAGAGGACCGGAGUGGACGCAUCACUGGUGUUCGGGUUGUCAUGCCAAUGGCACUGCCCGGUAGCUAAAUGCGGAAGAGAUAAGUGCUGAAAGCAUCUAAGCACGAAACUUGCCCCGAGAUGAGUUCUCCCUGACUCCUUGAGAGUCCUGAAGGAACGUUGAAGACGACGACGUUGAUAGGCCGGGUGUGUAAGCGCAGCGAUGCGUUGAGCUAACCGGUACUAAUGAACCGUGAGGCUUAACCUUACAACGCCGAAGGUGUUU
rnacentral:rRNA from 1 species